rnacentral:rRNA from 1 species
GAGUUUGAUCUUGGCUCAGAUUGAACGCUGGCGGCAUGCCUUACACAUGCAAGUCGAACGGCAGCAUGAUCUAGCUUGCUAGAUUGAUGGCGAGUGGCGAACGGGUGAGUAAUACAUCGGAACGUGCCCUGUAGUGGGGAUAACUAGUCGAAAGAUUAGCUAAUACCGCAUACGACCUGAGGGUGAAAGUGGGGGACCGCAAGGCCUCAUGCUAUAGGAGCGGCCGAUGUCUGAUUAGCUAGUUGGUGGGGUAAAGGCCCACCAAGGCGACGAUCAGUAGCUGGUCUGAGAGGACGAUCAGCCACACUGGGACUGAGACACGGCCCAGACUCCUACGGGAGGCAGCAGGUGGGGAAUUUUGGACAAUGGGCGAAAGCCUGAUCCAGCAAUGCCGCGUGUGUGAAGAA